rnacentral:rRNA from 1 species
AUACGUAGGUGGCAAGCGUUAUCCGGAAUUAUUGGGCGUAAAGAGGGAGCAGGCGGCAGCAAGGGUCUGUGGUGAAAGCCUGAAGCUUAACUUCAGUAAGCCAUAGAAACCAGGCAGCUAGAGUGCAGGAGAGGAUCGUGGAAUUCCAUGUGUAGCGGUGAAAUGCGUAGAUAUAUGGAGGAACACCAGUGGCGAAGGCGACGAUCUGGCCUGCAACUGACGCUCAGUCCCGAAAGCGUGGGGAGCAAAUAGUAUUAGAUACCCUAGUAGUCCACGCCGUAAACGAUGAGUACUAAGUGUUGGAUGUCAAAGUUCAGUGCUGCAGUUAACGCAAUAAGUACUCCGCCUGAGUAGUACGUUCGCAAGAAUGAAACUCAAAUGAAUUGACGGGG